GGCUCUCUUGUGACACAUACAAAAAUUGGAAUGAUACAGAGAACAUUAACAUGGCCCCUGAGCAAGUAUGACACGAAAAUUCCUGAAGCAUUUCACAUUUUG